rnacentral:tRNA from 1 species
GAGGUUGUGGCUCAGAGGUUGAGUGCUUGCCUAACAUGAGUGAGGCACUGAGUUCGAUACUUAGCACCUCA